rnacentral:rRNA from 2 species
GGACUACUGGGGUUUCUAAUCCUGUUUGCUCCCCACGCUUUCGUGCCUGAACGUCGGUGCUGGACCAGGAAGCCGCUUUCGCCACUGGUGUUCCUUCCGAUAUCUACGCAUUUCACCGCUACACCGGAAAUUCCGCUUCCCUCUUCCGCACCCUAGCAGAGCAGUCUCGAAUGCAAUUCCCAGGUUGAGCCCGGGGCUUUCACACCCGACUUACGCUACCGUCUACGCACGCUUUACGCCCAGUAAUUCCGAUUAACGCUUGCACCCUCUGUAUUACCGCGGCUGCUGGCAC